UCCCUGCGCCUGAGCUACGGCAGCGAGCGGUCCCCCGGCCCGCCGGAGAACGGAGUCGCUGCCCUGGGUACCGAGCAGCCCAGGGCCACGGGGGUGGUUGGGACGGACCCGGAGCCUGCGCUGGCCGCCUGCCACUUGGUCAAGGGGCCUGGCCACACGGGCAUCGCCUUGGGCAUGGGGCCGGGAGCAGCUGUCAGGGGCCUGGGGAACGGUUGCCCUGCUGCGGUGGGCAGCGUUACAGAUGUGGAGGAGGAGGUACAGCAUCCAGAUGUUGUGCAGAAGAACCAUGGACUUGCUCUCUUGGGGGACAGCGAUACAGAUGAGGAGGAGGCUAUGGAGAAUCUAGAUGUUGUGGAUCCAAAGUGCCACCCACCUGCCAUUGAGAUGGGCAGUGAUACAGAUGUGGAGGAGGAAGCAGCACAGAAUCCAGAUGUGCAUCCAAAGGACCAUCAGCUUGCUGGAAAUGGGGACAGCGAUACAGAUGUGGAGGCACCACUGGAGAAUCCAGAUGUACUGCAAGGAAUGAAGAGCCAGUCUGCUGCCCCUGGGGACAGCGAUACAGAUGUGGAGGGGGUUGGUGUGAAUCCAGAUGUGGGUCCAAAGAGCCAUCAGCCCAGCGUUGAGGUGGACAGUGAUACAGAUGUGGAGGAGGAGGCAGCAAAUAAUCUAGAUGUGCAGAAGAACCAUCGACAUACUGUCCCUAGGGGCAGAGAGACAGAUGUGGAGAAUGGAGAUCCAGAUGUGCAUCCUAAGAGCCAUCACUCUGCCAAAAAUGGGGAGAGCGAUACAGAUGUGGAGGAGGUUGCAGAGAAUCCAGAUGUUGUACAGAAGAGCCAUCAGCCCGCCAUUGAGGUGGGCAGUGAUACAGAUGUGGAGGAGGAGAAAACAGAGACUCCAGUGGUUGUACAGAGCAACCAUCAACUUGUUUCCCCAGGGGGCGGAGAUGCAGAUGUGGUACGGGUGGUGGGAAAACCAGAUGUGCGACAAACGAACAAUGAGCUUGCUGCCCCUGGGGACAGUGAUACAGAUGUGGAGGAAUCUGAUAAAAAUCCAGAUGUUGUCACUGCAAAGAGCCAUCCCCUUGCUGUUGAUGUGGGCAGUGAUACAGAUGUGGAGGAAGAGGAGGCAAAGAAUCCAGAUGUUGUAACGAAGCAUCAACAUGCUCUCCCUGGAGACAGAGAUACAGAUGUGAUGGGGACAAUGGGGAAACCAGAUGUGCAUCCUACGGGCCAUCGGCCUGCAGAAAAUGAGGACAGCGAUACAGAUGUGGAGGACUCUGUGGGGAAUCCAGAUGUUGUACAGAGGAGCCAUCAGCCCACCGUGGAGGCAGGUGACGAUACAGAUGUGGAGGAGGCUGAGGAGAAAUCAGAUGUUGGACGACAAAGCGACCCUUUGCCUGUUGCCACUGGGGACAGCGAUACAGAUGUGGAGGAGAAUCCAGAUGUUGGCCAACAGACGCUCCACUUGCCUACAGCCAGUGGAGACAGCGACACAGAUGUCGAGGGGGCUCCCGGGGUAGAGUUCGAGCAGGAGCCAGGUCCUGUGGGGGGCCCAGCCCAGGCGGGUGGGGAGGAGCCACCUGCUCCCCAGUCCCAUGUCAGCCCAGAGACCAAGUUGAUGGACACUGAGGGGAACAAGGAGCCAGCGUGGGGACCAGCCCAGCCUGGAGACGACAGCGAGACGGAUGUGGAGGAUGACGCUGAUUUUGCCCUGCAGGCCACGCAGUGCUACCUGGUUGAGGAGACCCCGUCCUCGGGGGCCGAGGCCGCCAG
rnacentral:lncRNA from 1 species